rnacentral:other from 1 species
GAACUCCUAAUAUGUACGUAGAAAUUUACGUUUUGAGCCAACAGAUUAAAAAUGGGAGCUUGGGUUGACAAUCGGAUUACAGGCCUUUCUUAAGGAAGUAAAAUGGUUUUCACAGGGCACCCACCUGUUUUUGGAACAGGUUCAAAACCAUAAUGAAUACGGCAUGAUUGGGAUUCUU